rnacentral:rRNA from 1 species
AACGAACGUUGGCGGCGUGGAUUAGGCAUGCAAGUCGAGCGAGAUUUUACCUUUUCAAUCUUUCGGGAGAGAAGUUGGUAAUGAGAGCGGCGAACGGGUGAGUAAUAUAUGGGUAAUUUGCCUCUUUGUUCGGGAUAGCCAUCGGAAACGAUGAUUAAUACCGGAUGUGAUUAGCUGCUGCAUAGUAGCCUGUUUAAAGGCGGGGAAUCUUCGGAUCCUGUCACAAAGAGAUAAGCCCGUAUCCUAUCAGCUUGUUGGUGAGGUAAUGGCUCACCAAGGCUUACGGGUAGCCGGCCUGAGAGGGUGAUCGGCCACACUGGGACUGAGACACUGCCCAG